rnacentral:lncRNA from 1 species
UUGUAACUGUGUGGUUUAUAAUAGCUAAAACAACUGUGUCAAUAGUGUAAUUUAAGAUUAUAAUGUAUAAUUUCGUUUUUUAGAAAACACUUUUUUAAGCUUCGCAACACAUUUUAUAUUAAACAUUAGUGUCUUAAGCAGCUUAAAAAAACAGAGCAGGGAGACUGAAUCUGCAGUAAAAGAGAAUAUUCCUCNCCAUUGAUUCAUGACAGGUUAAGCCUGCCACUGUGCUUAACGGAGUCAACUCUUUUAAGAAUCAGUUCGCUGUUCUGAAUCAGUUUCUCUCUGUUGGCGCGCGGAUACUCUCUCUCUCAGCGGCAGUGCAGGUUAACCAGCGCCACAGCUCGAGCCACUGACCUUCUUUCUUCACUCUGAGGUAAGUCUACAGUAUUAACGUGUCACACAAGCAGUCGUUUAAUCACAAGGUUUUGAACCAGCGGCUACACUUCACGGGUAAACAUUCAUGUGAGAAUGGCUAGUUACGUUCUCAAAUAGUGAAAUAAUUAGAUAACGAUUUAUUUUAUUUCUUUAGUUUGACUAUUGACAACAGCUAACCAACGUUAGCUUACGUUAGCUAACCUCUUAGCUAACCUACCUGUGUAUCUAGCUAGCCAGUUACAUAGCUAACGAGGUUUUUACACAUAAUUACAGUAAUCUGUAUAAAGAAUAUAUGUGACAAAGCAAAAUGUAUGUUAUGUCGCAUGGAGUUGCUGUUAAAUAUAACAUUGGAUUUUUAGCGAGCUAGCUGAUUUUAGCUGUGCAACCAUCCUGCGUUUCCUUCAUUAUGGUUGCGCAUUGUGUUAGCAAUGGGUUAUGAUUCUGACUCACGUUCAGAUCCGUUUUACUGACGGUAAAUCCGCAUUACAGUCCGUCUCAUUUCCCGCCUUCCAUACGACUUCAGCAUGGAGUCAGAUACCAGAUGUGAGUUCAGUGGCAGUUCAGCGUCGUUUUGCGGAUCCGGGCCGCAUCGGCGGAGCGGCACAGGAGCGGGAGAAGUUCAAACUCAGCGCGAGGACCAACUGCCAUCUGCUGAAUCUGCGCCUCAGGAGACUUCAUGAACAAAAGUACAGAGGCUUUACCACACGAUGAAAAUCACUAUUAAUGAGGUGACUAAGACUGAAUAUAGACUCAUGGUACAAAUAUUAACAUUUACCAAUGUGAUGGAAAAGAU